rnacentral:rRNA from 1 species
ACCCACGUCGUUAGUUGCCAGCAUUUAGUUGGGCACUCUAGCGAGACCGCCGGUGAUAAACCGGAGGAAGGUGUGGAUGACGUCAAGUCAUCAUGCCCCUUACAUCCUGGGCUACACACGUACUACAAUGCUACGGACAAAGGGCAGCAAACUCGCGAGAGCUAGCAAAUCCCAUAAACCGUGGCUCAGUUCAGAUCGUAGGCUGCAACUCGCCUACGUGAAGGAGGAAUCGCUAGUAAUCGCAGGUCAGCAUACUGCGGUGAAUACGUUCCCGGGCCUUGUACACACCGCCCGU